GGAUGAUGGAGCCAAGGAUGUAUCAGGUCCGUGCUACAGAAAAUCAGAAAACAAUAGAAAUCCGUGGACAAGAAAAUCACACCAACUGAGAAGAUUUUUAAAUCAAAACAAAAUGGGAGCCUAAUCACAUUAACUGUGGAUCUGAGAUAGAUUUUUGGGGGGCCUUCUACUAAUUUUUUUAGUGUACAUCCAGGUGGCUUUGUUGUGGCCAAGAUGAGAACACGGAGAAGAACUAAGGCAGGUUGUGUUGUUAAACAUGGAAGAAUUAUUAUUGUGGCUGAAUUACUACUACCAUGAAUAUGUUUGUGAUGUAGAUGGUACUGCAGCUCGCUGUGGAUAUGAAGAAUUUGUUGGAAUGGUCCACUAAUGCGAGUAGAUACAUGUUCUUCUUUUUUAGUUUAAUCUUUAAUGUAUUUUUUCUUAAAAGCGUAAGUUAGAUUACUUUGUUAUAUUGUUUCUAUUAGAUGCUAACUAAUAAUGUGCAGGAAACAGAUUUGUGGCAAUGAUGCAUCAUUGCAACAAUCUUUCAAUCAAAUGAGAAAGCACGAAACACCUAAGUCUGUCAAUGUUGAUGACUUUUGUCUCAUACUUUCCCAUUUGUUCCAAAGGUUGCAAUGACCUAAUAUACACGAGAUACAAAGUACUAAUACUAAACAGGGCCUCAACUGAUACUAAUGGUGGUGAAAAGAUUAUAGUUGAAAUGGGGUUCUGCAAUGAGAAAGCGGAUUACGUAUAAUAUGAUCAAGCAAUCUUCUUGACAGACCAAUCUAUAGUUUAAUAUACAAAUUCAUUCCAUCUCGGGUAUUACUGAGUUUUUUUGUUUUUUUUUUGAUACUGAUAUAGUAUUUGUUUUUUGGACUGCUUGCAGGACAUCUCUGUGAUGCUAUUCUGAAAAGAAAUUCAGCUAAUGAAUUUGGUUUGAGAUUGCAGGCUUUGAGAUUGGAAAUAAGAGAAGAGGUAAAGCUAAGCUGCAAUCAACAUUCAUGUCUCUUUUUGAAUUCGAUCAACGGAGGUGCUUAGUAUGGUAAGUUUCAGGGUUUUUCUUGAACAACAGGGAAUUUAUAGUCAUGCUAUUUGUUUUCACAAUUGUUGUCUUUAUUUUGGUGAAUGUUUUUGUUGCAACAGUAUUUAGUUUUUUGUUUUCAUUAUCCUAGAAAGCUUGGGCAUCAGUUAUGGCUGACUUUAUAAAAUUUUCGAACAAGCGUUGCUUUGAUAAAAUGUGUGUUCUGUAGAGUAACCUUAAAAUGUGAACUUUGAUUUAGUUUAUCAUGGUUCGUUAUCUUGGGGUUAGAAUUAUGUGGCUGCUGUUUUAGAGAGUGGGUAGUUCAGAGAUUAAGGAUGCAGUGGUUGGCUUCUUAGUUUAAGGCUUUAAUCACGUUUGGCAGUGUAUUUCUUCUCAAAUUGCAGCCAAACUAUAUUCUUUUAAGAGCUCAGAGUAGUGUCUGACCAAUGUCACAGUGACAUAUUCGAUUGCUUUCCUAUUUUUUCACUGGGAAAGGGUGGUGUUACCUUGCUUGGAGAUUAUGUUCGUACUAAAUUGCCUAUCUGGAUGCAUGUCUUUUGAGGUACGCCAUACUAAAACACUUAAAGUAGAGUUGGAAAGUUAUUGUCUCGUCCAUGAACUAUCUCUUAACGGCUUACAAUAUGUGUAUCUUGGGAUGCUGGUUUGAACUUAAUCUUAUAGGAUUGUAACCAACUUGCUGUAAAGCUCGAAAAAGUAGGAAAAAAAAUGUAGAUUCUGGUAUCUCGGUUGGUGUCUACUUUGAAGUGGUAAGUUUACUAUCGAAAGCUUGGCCGAAGAAUCAUCCUCAAAUCUGUAUCGUUUCUUCCCUCUCUGUCAAUCACUCCAAAUCAAAUAACUUCACCUUUUUUUUCAUUCUAUUUUUGUUAACGUCUUCAUUUUAUUUAUUUUUGCUGCUGUUGUUGUAGGGUUUGGAUAUCAUGAGUACUUUUCUCGGCCACAACUUUUAUGAGCUCAUGCAAUUUUAUUGGCAUGUUCUGGCCCUUCUGUAAGCAUAUGAGGCAUGAAUUCUCAUUGCAACCCACCAAUUAUUCGUCACGAUUUGAAGUCAUCCAAUUUGUUGGUGGGUAAGAACUGGAUUGUGUAAGCAAGCAGAUGUCAAUGUACGGACAAAUAAUAACUGGUUACCAUGAUGAUUUGGUAAAGGAUAGGAUGUUCCGUCUUUAUGGGGUCCGGAAACAUCGUAUUACGCCCCAAUGUUAUAUUUUGUGCUCAGAUUACUCGGACCGCUGAUUAUUCUGCUGCUCUAAGGUCAAUUAUUGGAUAGCAGAUUAUGUGGAUGUCACAGGUGGAGAUGCCUUCUUGGUGGUGAUUUAUAAAUGUUGCGGGAAAAAGCAUCUGUUAAAUUUCAUCUCUCCAUACAGAGUGAUACAAACCGGCCAUUAAUUAGACUGAAACUCUAAUUUCUGUGUGGUUCUGCUUUAUUAUUUUGGAUUUAGAAUGGUUUUGAGUUUUCUUCAUAUCUAUAAGUAGAAAAACCUAAUUUUGCCUAACCAAAACCUAAUUUUGCCUUCCUGCCUGCUCCUAAAAAAUAUUUGCCUCCCCUUGGAGGAUUUUCUGGCUCCACCCCUGCGACAACCUCUCCACCAACGGGUACUGAAUUCCCAAAGCCAGUUACAUAAAUAAACCCAACACUUUGCUUUUCGUAACAAAUCAACAAUAAGUUUCAGAUAUGCGGAUGAGGAAGAAUGGGGCAUGGAUUGUUCUACUGCACAUGACGUUAAGAUAAAUAACAAGUUCAGUUAAACCGGUUUUCGGAUUUACUUAUCAUGUUUUCUCAAUUUGUUUAUCUUUCCUGUAUAUAUGAAUUAAAGGAGCUCCAGGCACAUGCAACAGGUGCAGUAGAGUUGAAAGUAUGGCUGACAAAAGGUUGAAUGGGUUUCGGAAUGAAUGACCGAGAGACUCCACGGUGUUCUUGGACAUCAUAUAUUAUGCCGAUAAGAAGCAUACUAAGUAUCAAACAAGGUCAUUCAGGUCUUUUCAUAUUGAAGAGGUUAGAUUACCUGUUGAAGGGAUUUUUUCUAAAAAAUCUAUGAUUACUGUCAGUCUUUACCCGCCGAUGUUAGAGUUUUAUCCAGUUUAAGAUUUCAAACUUCAUGAACAAGGUAAAGAGAAAAAGCUCAAGUGAUGCAUACCCUACCUAAAAUUUUAAAAAUUUGAUAAUAUAACCCUACCCAAAUUGUGAUAAACUCUUCCAUUUUUGCGAGAGUGUUAUCCGAAACUGUGUUAAUUAGAUAGUGUCUCACUUUGAGUCUUAAAUGUCACCAUUUUACUGCUUGCCAACUUUGAAUUUCAUUAGAUUAAUUCACUGUGAAAGUACUUUUUGUGAACUAUAAUUAUACCCUUAUGUAAAUAUAUGGUUUCCACUUUUAAGUGUAAAGGAAGAGUCUAAUUAUUGGGAUGAUUCCUAAAAAUUACAUUAGAGCUCAUGUUGGGAUAUUUUGAAGUGUAAUUCUGCACAGAACGCCACAAAAACUAUUCAAGAAAUCCGUGUGAGUGGGGUGAGUAGGGUGGGCCGAAAGGGAAUUAUCAGGAGGGGUCCACUUAUGUGUCAGUUGGGCCCACCAAAUGUGUCACAAUGGUUUUUGGGUGGUUUCUGAGUAUGGUCGUACUUUGACAUGUUCAUAGACUUAUACAGUCAAAGAAAGUUGAUUUUUUCUCCAACCAUGUUUAAUCUCUCAUCUUAAAUAUUUACCAAGUUUUAAUGGGAAAAAUCUAGGUGGAUAUAAACUACCUAUACCUGUCACAUUUGCAUACAACACGGGUGACGAAAAGGAAUCGGUGACCUAUCUUAAGAUACCAAAUUAAUUCUCUUAGUGAAAAGGGGAUGUGAGACUUAAUUAACAGUUUAAUAAGUGGCCGCAACUAGCAUAUUGUCCCGGCUUUUUGGGGAAGCCAACAAUAUCCUGUUUAUAUUGAAGACGACAAGGUUCGAAGGCCAUCAACAAGAUGGACUCACUGGAACUAAUAUUCAUCUCUCUGUCCUAUAUUUUUAUUUUGGUCUGUCUUUUUUAUUUGUCCGUUCUGUUUAUUAGACAUAUUUUUC